UACGGGGGGGGGCAAGCGUUGUUCGGAAUUACUGGGCGUAAAGGGCUCGUAGGCGGUCCAUCACGUCGGGAGUGAAAAAGCUGGGGCUUAACCCCCAGUCCUGCUUCCGAUACUGGAUGGCUUGAGUUCGGGAGAGGGAUGCGGAAUUCCAGGUGUAGCGGUGAAAAUGCGUAGAUAUCUGGAGGAACACCGGUGGCGAAGGCGGCAUCCUGGACCGACACUGACGCUGAGGAGCGAAAGCCAGGGGAGCAAACGGG
rnacentral:rRNA from 1 species